rnacentral:pre_miRNA from 1 species
GGGGGGAGCGCAGGAUCUUGGGAUGUGUCCCUGGGUGUCCUGGGCUCCCGGGCCUGUGCCACUGGAAUCGCGCUCCCGGCUGCACAGCCCCCU